GUUAGGAAUAUUGGACAAUGGGCGCAAGCCUGAUCCAGCCAUGCCGCGUGAACGAUGAAGGCCUUCGGGUUGUAAAGUUCUUUAGCCGAUGAUUAUAAUGACUGUAGUCGGAAAAUAAGCCCCGGCUAACUUCGUGCCAGCAGCCGCGGUAAUACGAAGGGGGCGAGCGUUAUUCGGAAUCACUGGGCGUAAAGCGUGCGUAGGCGGUCUCGUAAGUUAAGAGUGAAAGCCCAGGGCUCAACCUGGGAAUUGCUCUUAAAACUGCAAGGCUAGAAUCUCGGAGAGGAUAGCGGAAUUUCCAGUGUAGCAGUGAAAUGCGUAGAUAUUGGAAGGAACACCAGUGGCGUAAGCGGCUAUCUGGACGAGUAUUGACGCUGAGGCACGAAAGCGUGGGGAUCAAACAGGAUUAGAAACCCUAGUAGUCC
rnacentral:rRNA from 1 species